rnacentral:SRP_RNA from 1 species
GCCGGGUGUGGUGGUACACACCUGUAGUCCCAGCUACUUGGGAGGCUGAGGUAAGAGGAUUGCUUGAGUCUGGGAGGUUGGGGCAGCAGUGAGCCAUGAUUGCACCACUGCACUCCAGCCUGGGUGACAGAGCAAGACCUUGCCUUAA